rnacentral:rRNA from 1 species
GGCUACCAUGCAGUCGAGCGCCACGCUGGGGAGCGGCCACAGUUGACUGCGCGUGGGAACUACCAUUUGCUAUCGAAUAACUCAGGGAAGCUUGUGCUUAUACCGUGUGUGCCCGAAAGGGGAAAGAUUUAUCGGCAAAUGAUCGGCCCGCGUUGGAUUAGCUAGUUGGUGGGGUAAAGGCCUACAUUGGCGAUUAUCCAUAGCUGGUCUGACAGGAGGAUCAAUCACACUGGGACUGAAACACGGCCCAAACUCCUCCGGGACGCAGCCAUGGGGAAUAUUGCACAAUGGGCGCAAGCCGGAUCCUACCAUGCCGCGUGAGUGAUGAAGGCCCUAGGGUUGUAAAGCUCUUUCACCGGUGAAGAUAAUGACGGUAACCGGAAAAUAAGCCCCGGGUAACUUCGUGCCA